rnacentral:lncRNA from 1 species
GACUGGUGGGUGACCUUAGAUUAUGUGCACAGAUGAUUAAUGAGAAAGCACUAGAGCGUAACUUGUGUGCAGAAGGCCGGACGGGUCACAGAGGUGACUCCGGUAGAGUGAUAGUGAUAGAUUUUGAGCUCUAGGUUCAACCGUACAGGCUAUUAGAGGGCCUCCGGUUGAUUACUUUCUUGCACCUGAUAUGAUUAUUGUUGAUGCAUCCAUAUUUAACUGUUGAAUUAGACAUGGCAUGGCAUGAUUGAUAAAGAAAAAUGUUGAGAUAGUAAAAAUGAAGUUUUGAGAAUAUAUAUGUAUAUUUAUAUUUUACAUUCUGGGAAAGUAUACAGGUUUUACAGAGAGGGGUUACAACGUUUUGAGAAAUGUUUGGAUUUGGAAAAGAAUUGUUUUACUGACCCACUCAAUUUUGGUUUUGCGCCCCUCCAGGUUAAAGAAUAGCUGAGGUGUGGUGGCUACGAGGAAUUCGACGAUGUUCUGACAGAUUGGACAAAAUUAGGACUCACCUUCGGGUGUAUCAACUUAUAAAUUGUAUCUUAAAGCUUCCGUACUGUGCAAAUGGUUACGUCACUCUCACGUGACGGCCAGCAUGCCCUCCUUCGGGACGGGGUGUGUCAGUUGGUAUCAGAGCAUGGUUGCAAUCUUGGACAUUUUGAGAAGUUCUAGUGAAUUCUGUCAGAACUACACCGCCUCGUAGCAAGCCACUUAGUUAGAGGAAUUUAGUCUCCCUAAUAUAGCGGUUUAGGGAAAACUAUUAUUAUGGUGAUUCAAUCUAUUAUAAAAAGGGACAUUUUAAGACGGAUUAUGAGUCGAAUUUGAAUCACCUUAUGAAAUGAUGAACCUGAGGGAGCGAAGUAACGGUUUAACCAUUUGGAAAAGAUGUUUCAGAUUAUGCAAGUCAAAGGAAUCUUCCUUCUGACAAGGGGUCGAGACGACUACCUGGUUUUGGGUAUGAAUUUGUAUCCUGGUGGAAACAGGAUUGUUAAUUGUUGUCACCGGAGAAAACAGCUGAUUGAGAAUUAUUUAAGGACUUGUUUAAGGAAAAGUUUAUCCCUCCGGCAUUUAUCGAUGGUAGUAAGCAAGAGUUUGCAAAUGUGAAUCAAGGAAGUUGACGAUAAAUGAAUAUUAUAGAAAGUUUUCAGACUUGCCUCGUUCCAUCCAGAUAUUGUUGUUAAUUUGGUGGAGGUGUUAUGUUGUUUUAAGCUGGGUGGCAAAAAGGGAAGUGGUAUUUUGGGUGACCACUAUCCAGUGUAGUUCUUAUCAGGAGUAUGCUAGAUGUUGUUGAGUCUUGAGGACUCUGAGAACAUGAGCAACGAGAAUAAAGAAGAAUAAGAAAUGAAUGGGAAUUAAAAGAAGACGAUAAAGUUAAUGAUUCGUCAUAUCAAUGAUAUAGAAAGAUUCAGAGCUUCGAAAGAAGUGAAGCUAGAGUUAAUUCUUCCAGCUGAGGUUUUAAUGUCGCUGGUCAGAAUAAAAGUGAUGGAUAUACUGGUAAUCCCAGAUAUUUGAGACAAGGUGUCUCGAGUAAAGGAAAUGUACCUUGUGCAACAGGUACAAAAUUAACACUUUGGGAAGUGUGAAAUUAAUGAAUGUGUUUAUGUGAACAGAGGGGACACAGAAUUGUGAAUCGUCCCUAAAAAUCAGUUGUACCCAACAGUUUUCUAUGACAUCGUAGUAUCGAUUCAGCAGGUUUAUGGAUUUAGUAGUUUGGUCGGAUUGACCGUGGGUACAGAGAGAUUUGAUGAGUAUGUUCAGCCAUACAGGCCACGAGAGGUGGAUUCGACUGACGCAUGAGAAAUUGGUGAGUUAUAGGCUCGGCCGUAUCGACCACGCGGAGUGGAUCCGGCCGACGUAUUAUUGAGAUAAGAGUUGAAUCAGCCGUAUUGGUCAUUCUAGUUGACUUCGGCUGAUAUAUUUCUUAUUAUGUAUGUUAUUACUUAGAGAGUAGUAAAUAAAUGUAGUUGAGACGAGUGUAUGUAUUUUGCAUUGAGUGGCAAAAUAGUAUUGUUAUAUCUUUGAGAGUGGUUGCCUACUUAUCGAGACAACGAUGAUUUAUCAGUAUUGCGGGCUGCAGACCGUAAUAUUAAUAACUCAUUCGUGGAUUCGUUAAGCAAGCAACCUGGUAGAUUAUUUUAUGUUAGUAUUGUACUUAUUUAGAAUGCUUAUUAAUAAUAGAAUAUAUAUUGUAUCAGUUAAUUCUGUUUCAUUAGAUUGGUUGGUUAUAAUUGUGACUAAAUGGAUUGUUACGGGAAACCAGUCACUUUCCAUCGAUCUGGAUGAUCAGAGAUUACCUUAAUGAGUGGGCAUGCAAAGUGAAGUGAGUUCAGCCAUUAUUUAUGCUGUGAAAGCAAAGAGAUUGUUUGAAAGGCUGCCCAAGAAUAUUUAGUUCAUGUGGUACUAAAGGAUGUUGCUCGGAGAAGUGUGAAAAAAAAUAAAUAAAUAAAUAAAAAAUAAAAAAUAAAAAAAAAUGAAAAAGGGGUUAGACUUUUCUUGAUGUCUUCCCUGAAAGUAUACCUGGAUUGCCUUCAGGCAGAGAUAUGAGGUUCACUAUUGAUUUGUUGCCAGGUAUAAAUUUAUGUUAAAGAUUGGUUCAUGAUGAGUUAAGGGAAUUGGAAAUUCAGUUGAAAGAAUUGGUUGAUAAAAGUUUUAUUCAACCUAGUACAACGCUUUGGGGGAGCCCCAGUUCGUUGAUGAGGAAGAAAAUGGAUUUUUAAGGCUAUCCAUUGAUUAUAGAUAAUGGAAUCGGGUAACGAAUGAGAACCGUUAUCCAUUGUGGUGUAUUGACGCUCAUUUGAUCAGUUCAAAGGUGCUUGUAUAUUUUCAAAGAUUGACUUGAAGUCUGUCUAUUAUCAAUUGAAGAUUAUGAGUAACGUUGAUCAUAAGAUGGUUUUUCUGGACUUGUUAUAGUCUUUAUGAAGUUUGGUGAUGCUAUAUGGAUACUCAUGCUGUUUUAUGAGUUGAUGGAUGAAGUAUUCCAAUAAUGCCUUGAUAAAUAGAUAUCAUUUUCAUUGAAGAUAUCCUGGCAUAUUCUGAGCCAGAGCAGAGCAUGUAAACGUAUUAAGUCGGUGGAACAAAGAUUGGAAGAAUGUCGAUUGUAUGCUAAGUUUAGCAAAUGUGAAUGUUAGAUGAAUCAAGUAGCAUUUCUGGGAUAUGUUAUAUAUUCUUAAGGUAUUCAAGUGAAUCCUUAAAAGAUAGCAGAAAUUGAGAAUUUGGAACAACCACGAGUCGUAAUUGAGAUUUGGAAUUUCUUAACUUACCAGGCUAUCUUGGAUGGUUGUGAAAGAUUUUUCAGUCAUUGCUUUGUCAUUGACGAGACUGUUGAGAAAGGAGGUUAUGUAUGAGUGGGAAGGAAAUUGUGAGCAAAGGAUUCAACAACUGAAGUAUUUCCUCACUCAUGCACGUAUUUUAGUAAUCCCAGAGAAUAGUGGUAAUCAUAAAUUUUUAGUGAUGUUUCUUGAAUGGUAUUGGAUGCAUGUUGAUGCAAAUGUUAGGGUGAUUGCAUACGUUUCACGACAAAUGGAAUCUCAUGAGAUGAAUUACCCUACUGGUGAUUUGGAAGUCACGAUUACCAUCCUUGCUGUGAAGUUAUGGAGACAUUAUAUUUUAGUGAGAAUGCAAGAUUUUACAAAUCAAAAGAGUCUCCAAUAUUUGUUUACUCAGAAGGAUUUUGAUAUGAGGCAACAAAGGUGGAUUGAAUUACUUAGUGAUUAUGAUUGUACGAUCAGGGUGAUCGUGAAUUGUUCUAGCUGAAGCACUUGGUGAGAAGACUACAGUAAGAUUAAUAUCUGGCACGUUUGCCAAGAGUAUCAUCUUGUGGAUUGAAAACCAACGGAAGAAAAAUUAAGAAUGGAAGAUCGAGAAGAAGUUAUACUUGUUAAGUAACAAGUUAGUACAUUUACUCCAGUGUUGAGUAACAACCUUUCCCAGACAGUGCAACAUUACUUAUUUGUUUUUAUGGAAAAGAGAAUUGGUUUACGGAACUGCUGAGUUUCUUAAGUAUGUUGGUUGUGCAGUUUCCGAAGUAACGCCAUAAGGAUCAUGAAAUGUGUCAUGUGAGUCGGUUUUUGAUGACUUGUGAAUGGAAUGUUUCUGGGUAGAGAAAUAUUCGAUCAAGAAAGAGUUUUAGUAGACCUUGAGACUAUGGAUGAGUCUCCUCAAAGUAUUCAGGUGAUUAAGUUAACCUGAAGUAACCAGGAAUGGCAAAAGAGAUCAACAGAUGGAUAUGCCACUAAUUGAGUGUGUAAGGUAAAUGGUUUGAUAUUUUUGGAAUUUCACCAUGAACAGAAAUAGUAAGAUUUAGAAAGGAAGACAAGAUAAGUCUUGAACACAUCAGUCCGUUUUGAUCAUUAAAGGAAUCGACGAAGUUGCAUACAAGUUUGUGAUGCCUUCAGAAUUGGCUAAGGUACAUAAUGUGUUCCAUGUCUCGAUGCUUCGGCAUUAUGUGUCAGAUCCUUCACAUGUGAUUCCUCCUCAACCAUUGGAAAUUAAUCCGGAUUUGACGUAUGAUGAGGAACCAGUGACUAUACUGGAUUGGAAAGAUAAGACUUUGAGGAAUAAGACCGUGAGCUUGGUAAAAGUAUUGUGGAGAAAUCAUUCAGCUGAAGAAACUACUUGGGAGACAGAAGAAAGGAUGAGAGAUAUGUAUCCGAGACUAUUCUAUGAGUUUUGAUGUUAUGGUUGGUGACUGGAAUUUCGGGGACGAAAUUCUAUAAGGAGGGGAGAUUGUCACAGCCCGUCCCGGAAUUUUAAUUCCGAUGACGUGAAAUUACAGAAACGCCCUUAAACGGGAUUAAGGUGCGUCAUUUAUCUAUUGGUUUUUACCUAAAUCCCCUAAUCUAUAUUAAUUGGAAUAUUAUUUAGUGUCAGAAACAUAAACUUAGACUUAGGGUUACAAUUACAUACUAAAGUUUUAAUGUUGGUUUUGGAAUUUAUCACGUGGGAUCCCCACCUCCUGAAUUUCUUCCCCAAAACCCGUAGGUUGUCUCUCUCUUCCUCAGCUCUCCCUAGUCACUCUCUCUCUCUUUCUUCAUUUCAGAAACACUCUCUCACUCUCUCUCUUACUCUCGAACUCACGGCAAACACCAAGAACAACCACAAUUCUACACGAACGUCCAAUCUAAGAUCACCAUCGUGAUCUUGGGAACUUCACGAGCACGGGGGUACAAGUUUCAGGUGAGUUCUAUUUCAAAAACCCUAGUUUCAAAUCACCCCGUGGAUUUGCACUGUUGACAAACUUUAAGUUGGCCGUGUUUUAGGUUAAACAAAGCUCACAGUGAGCUUAAGGAGGUCACGAGGAGGCUCGGAGUGCCUUGUUUGAACAAAAUGGACGUCGGGAUCGUUGGGUUCGAGUUUGGCCGAAUUUGAGGAAUUUUGGAAGGUAUGAUCUAGUUGUUUUUAGGCCCUAAAACCUUUCCAACGUGAUAGUACAUGUUAAAUGCUUCAUUUUGGUAUAAAAUACGAAGAAAUUGGUUGAAAAACGAAGGAGAAUAGUGGGUUUGAAAAUUUUCCAGAAACCGGCGAACAGUCGCCGGCGACCGGCGACUCGCCGGAGAAGACAGGGAAUAUUCCAUCAAAACUGACGGAAUAUGCCAACGCCGUUACCGUUACCGUUGGAUAUUUAACGGAAAAUGCUAGGAUUUAACGGAAUAUUCCCUAACGCCGUUCACUGUAGCCGUCUGUGUGCAUGUCACGUGGCCGCGCGUGGGGGCGCGUAGGUCCGUGACACGUCAGGCGCGUGGGGGCGCGUGAGACCUCCAAAAAUUAUUUUAAAAAUAUGGGGAUGAUCCUGAGGUUGUGUAGGUCACGGUGGUAUAUUCAUAUACCCAAUUUGAGCAAUAUAUGAGGAGUUAUUAACUAAGAUUUGGGUUAGGCGUUAAAUAACGUCAAAAUGGUUACUUUUGUAUAGGUGAGGUUUAUGCGGGCAUCGGGCAUGGCCAAGGGAUGCUCAGGGACUUACGAGACGUCGAUGUAAUAUGUGAGUGGGCAGUUUUGUUUUCCGUAUAUAUAUAUACUUGACGCUUUCCCAGAAAUUGAAUUAGAAUGAAAUUAUGUUUUAAAUGAAAGGUAUAUAGAAUGAUAUGAAAACGUGAAUUGAAAGAUCAUGCAUAGAAGUAUAUGAAAUAUAUAUGGAAAUGUAAAUUGAAUUGCCAUGCAUGAAAUGAUAUGAAAAGUAUGAUUUGAGAUAUAUGAUGCAUAUGAAUGAAUGUUGCGGCGGACGCACAGGUGAGUAUCAGGUGAGUAUUUAAUUACUGUUAUGAUGAUGUUGAUGUAUAUUGAGCUCAAAUCCUGCACCUUGGUUUAGUGCUUAUAGUAUUCACCGCAUCGCACGCUCGCCUUGGAUCCAAGUAGAUGCUGGUCGCACAGUCCACGCGGAGUGGGUGCGACGGGCCAGUCGAAGAGUGUUAGUGAGAUUUCGACUGGUGGGUGACCUUAGAUUAUGUGCACAGAUGAUUAAUGAGAAAGCACUAGAGCGUAACUUGUGUGCAGAAGGCCGGACGGGUCACAGAGGUGACUCCGGUAGAGUGAUAGUGAUAGAUUUUGAGCUCUAGGUUCAACCGUACAGGCUAUUAGAGGGCCUCCGGUUGAUUACUUUCUUGCACCUGAUAUGAUUAUUGUUGAUGCAUCCAUAUUUAACUGUUGAAUUAGACAUGGCAUGGCAUGAUUGAUAAAGAAAAAUGUUGAGAUAGUAAAAAUGAAGUUUUGAGAAUAUAUAUGUAUAUUUAUAUUUUACAUUCUGGGAAAGUAUACAGGUUUUACAGAGAGGGGUUACAACGUUUUGAGAAAUGUUUGGAUUUGGAAAAGAAUUGUUUUACUGACCCACUCAAUUUUGG